rnacentral:rRNA from 1 species
AGCCUGCGGGUAGUGACGAAUUCCGUAAGUUGUACGUCCUUAUUGGAUUGGAUGUGCCGCGAAGGAGUUCCAGGAAAUAGCUCCCGCGUAUAGACCGUACCCGAAACCGACACAGGUGGACUGGUAGAGCAUACCAAGGCGCUUGAGAGAACUACGCUGAAGGAACUCGGCAAAUUGCCUCCGUAACUUCGGAAGAAGGAGGCCCUUUGCUUGGGCAACCAAGCGAAGGGGGCACAGACCAGGGGGUAGCGACUGUUUACCAAAAACACAGGGCUCUGCGAAGUCCAAAGACGACGUAUAGGGUCUGACGCCUGCCCGGUGCCGGAAGGUUAAGAGGAGAUGUGCAAGCAUUGAAUCGAAGCCCCGGUAAACGGCGGCCGUAACAAUAACGGUCCUAAGGUAGCGAAAUUCCUUGUCGGGUAAGUUCCGACCUGCACGAUGGCGUAACGACUUCCCCGCUGUCUCCAGCGUAGACUCAGUGAAAUUGAAUUCCCCGUGAAGAUGCGGGGUUCCUGCGGUUAGACGGAAAGACCCCGUGAACCUUUACUGCAACUUUGCAUUGGCAUCCGUGACGGCAUGUGUAGGAUAGGUGGUAGGCUUUGAAGCUUGGGCGCCAGCUCAGGUGGAGCCAACCUUGAAAUACCACCCUUGUUGUUAUGAAUGUCUAACCGCGACCCGUUACCCGGGUCCGAGACAAUGCAUGGUGGGCAGUUUGACUGGGGCGGUCGCCUCCCAAAGAGUAACGGAGGCGCGCGAUGGUGGGCUCAGAGCGGUCGGAAAUCGCUCGUCGAGUGCAAUGGCAUAAGCCCGCCUGACUGCGAGACAAACAAGUCGAGCAGAGUCGAAAGACGGCCAUAGUGAUCCGGUGGUCCCACGUGGACGGGCCAUCGCUCAACGGAUAAAAGGUACUCCGGGGAUAACAGGCUGAUGAUGCCCAAGAGUCCAUAUCGACGGCAUCGUUUGGCACCUCGAUGUCGACUCAUCACAUCCUGGGGCUGGAGCAGGUCCCAAGGGUUCGGCUGUUCGCCGAUUAAAGUGGUACGUGAGUUGGGUUCAGAACGUCGUGAGACAGUUCGGUCCCUAUCUGCCGUGGGUGUAGGAGAAUUGAGAGGAUCUGUCCCUAGUACGAGAGGACCGGGAUGGACGUACCUCUGGUGGACCUGUUGUUGCGCCAGCAGCAUUGCAGGGUAGCUAUGUACGGACGGGAUAACCGCUGAAAGCAUCUAAGCGGGAAACCCACCUCAAAACGAGUUCUCCCUGAAGAGUCGUGGAAGACGACCACGUUGAUAGGCCGGGUGUGGAAGCGCAGCAAUGCGUGAAGCUUACCGGUACUAAUAGCCC